rnacentral:rRNA from 1 species
CUCGUGAACCAAAUAUGGUGGGCUGGGUUGUCUUUGUGGAAACGCUUAGGCGACUUGUCUCAAUUGUAAUCAUAAUAUGGGCGGCGGUGAAUCCUUUGCAGACGACUUGAAUGGGAACGGGGUACUGUAAGUGGUAGAGUAGCCUUGUUGCUACGAUCCACUGAGGUUAAGCCCUUGUUCUAAAGAUUUGUUCA